rnacentral:rRNA from 1 species
AGUGAACGCUGGCGGUAUGCCUAACACAUGCAAGUCGAACGGCAGCACAGUAAGAGCUUGCUCUUACGGGUGGCGAGUGGCGGACGGGUGAGGAAUACAUCGGAAUCUACUUUUUCGUGGGGGAUAACGUAGGGAAACUUACGCUAAUACCGCAUACUACCUACGGGUGAAAGCAGGGGAUCUUCGGACCUUGCGCGAUUGAAUGAGCCGAUGUCGGAUUGGCUAGUUGGCGGGGUAAAGGCCCACCAAGGCGACGAUCCGUAGCUGGUCUGAGAGGAUGAUCAGCCACACUGGAACUGAGACACGGUCCAGACUCCUACGGGAGGCAGCAGUGGGGAAUAUUGGACAAUGGGCGAAAGCCUGAUCCAGCCAUACCGCGUGGGUGAAGAAGGCCUUCGGGUUGUAAAGCCCUUUUGUUGGGAAAGAACAGCAGCAGGUUAAUACCCCGCUGUUCUGACGGUACCCAAAGAAUAAGCACCGGCUAACUUCGUG